UGAAACUCAAAGGAAUUGACGGGGGCCCGCACAAGCGGAGGAACAUGUGGCUUAAUUCGAUGAUACGCGAGGAACCUUACCUGGGCUUAAAUGUAGAGUGCAUAACGCGAAAGCGUUAUUUUCCUUCGGGACUCUUUACAAGGUGCUGCAUGGUUGUCGUCAGCUCGUGCCGUGAGGUGUCGGGUUAAGUCCCAUAACGAGCGCAACCCUUACCGUUAGUUGCCAACAGGUUAAGCUGGGGACUCUAGCGGGACUACCACCGUAAGGUGAGAGGAAGGUGGGGAUGACGUCAAAUCAGCACGGCCCUUAUGUCCAGGGCUACACACGUGUUACAAUGGUCGGUACAGCGGGAAGCUACCUGGCAACAGGUUGCCAAUCCCGAAAGCCGGUCCCAGUUCGGAUUGGAGUCUGCAACCCGACUCCAUGAAGUUGGAUUCGCUAGUAAUCGCGCAUCAGCCAUGGCGCGGUGAAUACGUUCCCGGGCCUUGUACACACCGCCUUGUCAAACCAU
rnacentral:rRNA from 1 species